AAGACGAACCAGAGGCCGACCACCACCACCCGCCGCCGCACCGGGGAAAUUUUCGACCGCCGAUCGAGGUAAAUUUCAUACCCCCAACUCGUUUUUCCAUGCUGAUUCCUCCUAUGGCCAAAUCGAAGCCAAAAUUCCGGCCAAACGGCCGGAAUACGCGGCCGAAGACCAGCGGCGCCGCCGCGCCCCCUCUCGGUUUUUGCCUCCGACGAGGCCCUUCCCGGCCUCCGUUUGAUGCAAUUUUUAUAUCACCGUGAUCACCAUUCUUUUCUCUACAGGUUGACCGGAGCCGAAUCACCAAAACACGAACCUCGCCGGAGAGCCACCGCACCCGAGAGCGCCGCCGCCGGUAAGCUCCGUUUUUCCGUGAUUUUUUGGCCCCCCGAGGGCCCUAGGGUUGUUUUCUCACAGGGACCGAUGCGAGUGUGGCCGAAUUCGGCCGAAAACGGCCAAAAACAGCCAACCCGAGGCGACUCGCCGCCGCCAGCGGCGGCGCCGUCGCCGGAGCACGGCGG
rnacentral:lncRNA from 1 species